rnacentral:rRNA from 1 species
UCGGGAAUUUUGGGCAAUGGGCGAAAGCCUGACCCAGCAACGCCGCGUGAGGGAUGAAGUAUUUCGGUAUGUAAACCUCGAAAGAAUGGGAAGAAUAAAUGACGGUACCAUUUAUAAGCUCCGGCUAACUACGUGCCAGCAGCCGCGGUAAUACGUAGGGAGCAAGCGUUGUUCGGAUUUACUGGGCGUAAAGGGCGCGUAGGCGGCGCGGUAAGUCACUUGUGAAAUCUCUGAGCCUAACUCAGAACGGCCAAGUGAUACUGCUGUGCUAGAGUGCGGAAGAGGCAACCGGAAUUCUUGGUGUAGCGGUGAAAUGCGUAGAUAUCAAGAGGAACACCUGAGGCGAAGGCGGGUUGCUGGGCCGACACUGACGCUGAUGCGCGAAAGCCAGGGGAGCAAACG